UCUCUGCUGCAGCUUAGUUGGUAGAGCGGUGGACUGUAGAUGCAUAGGUCGCUGGUUCAAUUCCGGCACGAAGGA